UACAGAGGUCUCAACCGUUGUUCGGAUUCAUUGGGCGUAAAGGGUGCGUAGGCGGUCGGGUAAGUCGGAUGUGAAAUCUCAGGGCUCAACCCUGAAACUGCAUUCGAUACUGCCUGGCUAGGGUACUGGAGAGGAGACUGGAAUUUACGGUGUAGCAGUGAAAUGCGUAGAUAUCGGAAGGAACAUCGGUGGCGAAGGCGGCCUGCUGGGCUCUUGCUGACACUGAGGCGCGACAGCGUGGGGAGCAAACAGG
rnacentral:rRNA from 1 species